AGUGUUAUAUUAAACCAAAACUAUGUUUUUUGUCAAUGCACAACAUAUUUAUCCAGUAUUAAUAUAUGUUUACAACGACAAAAUAUAAAUUGCCCACAAGUGAAUUUAGUGAACUUGCAUUUAUCAAAUAUUUGUCUUUUUUUUGUGAAGCCGAGCGAGUCUCUAAACGCGCCUAAAUCCAUGAAGUGCUCGCCAGCCAACGCCAAAACUUGGCCAUUAAUCUCAAUAGCCGCAUUACAGCAGCGCACCAGCUGUUUCUGCUAAAGAGGAUAUUAGCCGAAAACUACGGAAAGCGCCAGACGGAAUGCGUACAGCCCCUGUGGCACUUUGUUGUUGUUAAAUACUGUAAUUAAUUUCUGGUAAAUAAUUCGCUUGAAAUGUUUUGAAAAAUGAAAACUAAAAUGAAUAUAAGAAAAAAUGCGUGCGGCUUCAGUACAAAACUUUGGGAAGAAAUUUGUGGUUAAUUUAAAUUAUUACGAAAUAAAAUGAAGCCAAAACUACGAGUAAUAUAUAUCUACUAAAUUCACCAAUAAAAUUGCAUACAAAUGCAACAGUACAAAAUGAGUUUUGUUUAAAAAUAUUCCCCAAAAAAUCUUAAACCCAAAAAAACAAA